rnacentral:lncRNA from 10 species
GUCUCGAUCUCUUGCGCUGGUGAUCCGCCGGCCUCGGCCUCCCACAGUGCUGGGAUUACAGGCGUGAGCCACCGCACCUGGCACUCAUAUGUUUUCUUCUGAAUUUUAGAGCUUUAGUUCUUGCAUUUAGGUUUACAACUCACCUUGAGUUAAUGUUUCUAUAUGUAUAUAGGUAUCAAGUAGGCUCUGUCUUUAAAAAAC